rnacentral:tRNA from 1 species
GCCACUUUAGCUCAGUCGGUAGAGCAUUCCACUCGUAAUGGAAAGGUCGCGAGUUCGAUUCUCGCAAGUGGCUC